AGAGAAGGUAGUGGGCGGUCAUGCAAUCGACAGCUUAGCACGAGCAACAAGAUGCAUGCAGUAAGCAUACAGUCGAUGCAGUAGUCGAUGCGGUCGAUAAGCGAACGUUUUGUGGGGCCUUUUGCAUCCCGUGCUCCAUGUCUCUUUUCCCCAUCUAAAAAUCGCCAGGAUGCCAAGCGUUGGCGGCAAAUCCCCACUGCGCGGGAAGAAAUCGCGCCAAAGCUUAUCCUCAAAACACUGAAUCCUCUUUUGCAUACUCCAAAUCCCCUCCUUGUGUCAAUCUGCUCGUAGCAUGGGUCGAUCAAAACGAGAAGUUGCGCCGCCGCCUCAAGCCUUGCUGGGAUCCUUCGCACCUGGUAUGUGGUUGGCCACUCCACCGAUGCAGGCUUCCUUUGCCAUUGGUGCCUAGCGAGGUGCAGCGCCGCCGCAGCCAGCGCAUGCAGCGUCGUCAUAUGCAUACGACGCUAGUGCUUCUGCUCCUCACUUGGUCCAAAUGAAGCAAGGUCUGGAUCAUAGUGCCAUGGAGGAUUCUUCGUCAGAUCUACACGAGUGUGGUACGGACGUGCAUCCACCUGGUGGUUUCUUAAGUUAUUUUCAGGAUCCAUCAAAUUUACAGAACUAUCAACCUUCUAUACCAUCUAAUUACUAUCCUGCUCAACGAGCAGCACCAGGAGGAGGUGAAGAAACCGUCACUGUCAGGACUGAGAAGCAAUUGUUCUACCUUCUGAAGUAUCUACUGGUGGUAACAUGUGCUUCAGUGAUGUGCUGCGUAGGAAAGCCGCAAUACAUGCUCGUGAACCACAUUGUCAACUUAAAAAGGACUUAGUUGAACAUAUUUGGCAAAAGUUUGGUCAUAUCCAUCACACUUAGUUAGGGGGCAUGGCAAACUUUGAUGCUAGCUAUUUGGUGAUUUCUCCUAUAUGGUUAUGGAGGUAUCGGAGAUGCUCAGUUUGGCAGCUUAUUUUCGCACUGUUGCAGCAAGGAAAGCUACUUAUGAAAUGGUUUUUAGUCAUCCACCGUUGGCAUCAAAGUUAACUUGUUUUCUCAUUGUCUAGUAUAAGUGUUUUUACUGUAUGGGUCACUGUAAUGGCGUCAUUUCUGGUAUCAAUCGUUGAUGUACGGAUCGCUGCAAUGGACUGAGUUAUUUUGUCAAACUAUGGACUAGUUUAUGUCAAUCUUAUUUUGUUAACCUAAAUUAUUCUCAAAGUUGAUUGCUCGGUAAUUACUA